rnacentral:lncRNA from 1 species
GAGUUUUUUUCCACCCGGGAGGAGUUGAUGGGGACAUCAGCUAGAUCCCCAUCUUAUUUACAUAUUUGUUUAUUUUAUGUCUGGAUUCAUUUGCCUUUAGGGUUUAUUUGUGGUUUAUUUUAUUUCUGGGCUUAUUUGCAUUUUAGGGCUUAUUUGUGAGUUAUUUGUGUUAUUUGUGGGUUAUUAGGAUUUAUUUCUUUGUAAAGGGGAUUUAUGCAAAUUAUGUAUUUUGGUCCUAUAUAUUGGGACUUAUUUUCAUGAUGAGGAAUUAAUGAAAGUUUAAGAAAUUUUCUCCCCCACGUAUCCUCCUCCUCUCUUCUCUUCUCAUUCUUCUCCUCCUCUUCCUCCUUCUCUUCUCCCUCUUCUUCUGGAAUAGGUUCUACAUCAAUCACCAUCGAGAACCGGAAUCAAACUAGAAAGCAAGAACCAUAAGAAUGGGGAAGUUACCCUAAAGAAACGCCAAAACUGGGCAUGAAAUGAAGGAUUAUAUAUCAAGAAUAC